UAGAGUACUAGUCAUGACUCAAUGAGUGUCGUACUAAUUUCAUAUCCACACAAAUUUACAGUACAAAAACAUUCCGCCAUUCAAAUCAAUCUUUCACUUGCCUUUAUUUAUUCCUAAUUCUUCACCUCUCCCGCCUUGAAAUUUAUACUAUAUAAUCAGGAAUAUAUUUAACUAUUGCAAGUUACAAAAGUAUUAACCGGAUCAGCAAAAUAAAGAAGAAGAUAAAUGCGGACUGAAAAUUAACAAGCGUCCGAAGCUCUUUUAUCCUUGCUAAAAUAUGGUCCAGCAAUAUUCAGCCUGUUUCGAGAUUCACUUCAUUCAUUUUUGGAGAAAAGAUUCAGCACUCCUACUUUUUCAGGAUUGAAAGGUAGACCAUGAUGCUACGUACUUUCAGCAGGAGGACUGUUAUAAUGACCACAAAAAUUGAAAAUUCUUCUUUGUUUAUACGAGAACAAAUGUUGAAGUGCUUAAUCCGGGCAUUUUGGGAUGCAGAUUCCUCCAAUAUUCGUUCUUCAAGGCAAGGUAAUCUAUAAGUUUCCAGUUGAAACCUAAUAUAUAAAAUAUUGCUUUUGGUUCUUCCAUAUAUUCCAGAUGAUGCUAUAAGUUGUGAUGGAAACUCAGUAGCAACUUUUAGUGAAUAUAAAUACUGCAUAUUUUGGAAAUAUUCGGUAAUAUUAACUGGAAAUCUAGCUUAA